GGAUGUGAGGGCUAUCUGGCUGCGACAUCUGUCACCCCAUUGACUGCCAGAGUUGAUUCAGCUGAUCUGGCUGGCUAGGCGAGUGUCCCCUUCCUCCCUCAACAAUCCAUGUGCAUCCAUGUGCGUCCCUUCCGAAGCUGCGUGCUCAUGCUCGGUUGAAGAGGAUGACCACCCCCGAUACAGGAGGACCAUUCCUCCGUCAAGGGUAUACAGGAGGACCAUUCCUCGGUCAAGGGUAUAGGAGUAGCUGUGCUCUCCUGCUAGAACCUCCAAACAAGCUCUCAAGAAAAGAAACCAAGGCUGUUACUUUUGUAGUCUCAAGCGUCAUCCCAAAUGUUUCUUUUUCAGUUCACUGUGAAAUGUGUAGAUUUGG
rnacentral:snRNA from 1 species